AGUAUCAAAAACAUAAACUACUAAGUUAUUAUAGCAUUCAACUUAGAUGCAUUUUACAACAUAAUUUUUUCUUUUACAAUCAACCUCCAAAUACAAUCAUAAUUAUUACAGAUUCUUUUACAACUUAAACAAAAGUUUGUUCUUGUCUUUAAACCUCCCAAGCUAGACCACCAACUCGGGUACUGCUAUCUCAGUCUCUGGGUAGGACGCUAUCUGCAGAACUACGUCCUCGCCUUGCGCCGCCGCGCCGCACACGUGUGUACCUGUACCCCCAAAACAGCAACACGGGGGUGAGACUAUUGUCCAUAGUCCUCAGUGGGUUUAGCCACCCAAGAGAACAAGCUCAGCCAACAGGUCUAACGAGGCACUGCAACAUGUUAGAUCAACAAUAUACNNN
rnacentral:lncRNA from 1 species